rnacentral:rRNA from 1 species
CAGCAGCCGCGGUAACACCGAGGGUGCGAGCGUUAAUCGGAUUUACUGGGCGUAAAGCGUGCGUAGGCGGCUUUUUAAGUCGGAUGUGAAAUCCCUGAGCUUAACUUAGGAAUUGCAUUCGAUACUGGGAAGCUAGAGUAUGGGAGAGGAUGGUAGAAUUCCAGGUGUAGCGGUGAAAUGCGUAGAGAUCUGGAGGAAUACCGGUGGCGAAGGCGGCCCCCUGGACGAAGACUGACGCUCAGGUGCGAAAGCGUGGGGAGCAAACAGGAUUAGAUACCCGCGUAGUCCCUGUCUCUUAUAC